rnacentral:rRNA from 1 species
UUGAACGCUGGCGGCAGGCCUAACACAUGCAAGUCGAGCGGAUGAAGGGAGCUUGCUCCUGGAUUCAGCGGCGGACGGGUGAGUAAUGCCUAGGAAUCUGCCUGGUAGUGGGGGAUAACGUCCGGAAACGGGCGCUAAUACCGCAUACGUCCUGAGGGAGAAAGUGGGGGAUCUUCGGACCUCACGCUAUCAGAUGAGCCUAGGUCGGAUUAGCUAGUUGGUGGGGUAAAGGCCUACCAAGGCGACGAUCCGUAACUGGUCUGAGAGGAUGAUCAGUCACACUGGAACUGAGACACGGUCCAGACUCCUACGGGAGGCAGCAGUGGGGAAUAUUGGACAAUGGGCGAAAGCCUGAUCCAGCCAUGCCGCGUGUGUGAAGAAGGCCUUCGGAUUGUAAAGCACUUUAAGUUGGGAGGAAGGGCAGUAAGUUAAUACCUUGCUGUUUUGACGUUACCAACAGAAUAAGCACCGGCUAACUUCGUG